GCAGGUAUCAAAUCCUGUACUUCAGCAAGUACAGGUGGAGGAGAAGGCUGUCGCACAAUUUCAAUAGGGGCAGGCAUUUCAACUUGUUCAAACGAGAUCAAGGAAUCUGUUCCCAUGGCAUUAUUUAUCUCGCGACCGUUAUUCUGGAUGCAGAUUGAGUCUAUAUCAGAUCUUUCUUUUUCCAAGUUUCCAACAUCUUUUUCUAUUGUAAGUUUGGUUUCUAUUGAUUGUUGUAAGCUUGGAAUGUCAAUGGGAGACAGAUCCAAAAUACGUGGAUAUUGAACCCCUUUAUCAACGAUAGGUGGUUGCCACUGGCCAUGAAGCCCAUUGGGACCCAAAAUAGAAUGACGGGAUAACGUUUCCUCCUUUGGGAGUGGAAUACGAAUAGAUCUGGAAUAUGAAAAUUGAUGAGUCCCUGAGUCUUGACGAGCAAUUUCUCUAGAAGCUGAUUU
rnacentral:misc_RNA from 1 species